rnacentral:rRNA from 1 species
UACGGAGGGUGCAAACGUUGCUCGGAAUCAUUGGGCGUAAAGCGCACGUAGGCGGUCCAGCAAGUCGGGUGUGAAAUCCCUCGGCUCAACCGAGGAAGUGCAAACGAAACUACUGGGCUUGAAUACUGAAGAGGAUCGCGGAAUUCCCGGUGUAGAGGUGAAAUGCGUAGAUAUCGGGAGGAACACCAGUGGCGAAGGCGGCGAUCUGGGCAGAUAUUGACGCUGAGGUGCGAAAGCGUGGGGAGCAAACAGG